UACGUAGGCCCCGAGCGUUAUCCGGAAUUACUGGGUGUAAAGAGUCUGUAGGUGGACUGUUAAGUCUUGUAUGAAAGACCGAAGCUCAACUUCGUGUUCGUGCAGGAAACUGGCAGUCUAGAAUGAGGGAGAGGCAAGCAGAAUUAUGAGAGUAGGGGUGCAAUCCGUAGAUACUCAUAAGAAUACCAAAAGCGAAGGCAGCUUGCUGGAACUCUAUUGACACUGAGAGACGAAAGCGUGGGGAGCGAAAAGG
rnacentral:rRNA from 1 species